rnacentral:rRNA from 1 species
GGCGGGCGGCAGCUACCAUGCAGUCGAGCGGUAACAGAUCCAGCUUGCUGGAUGCUGACGAGCGGCGGACGGGUGAGUAAUGCAUAGGAAUCUGCCCGAUAGUGGGGGAUAACCUGGGGAAACCCAGGCUAAUACCGCAUACGUCCUACGGGAGAAAGGGGGCUUCGGCUCCCGCUAUCGGAUGAGCCUAUGUCGGAUUAGCUAGUUGGUGAGGUAACGGCUCACCAAGGCCACGAUCCGUAGCUGGUCUGAGAGGAUGAUCAGCCACAUCGGGACUGAGACACGGCCCGAACUCCUACGGGAGGCAGCAGUGGGGAAUAUUGGACAAUGGGGGGAACCCUGAUCCAGCCAUGCCGCGUGUGUGAAGAAGGCCCUCGGGUUGUAAAGCACUUUCAGCGAGGAAGAACGCCUAGCGGUUAAUACCCGCUAGGAAAGACAUCACUCGCAGAAGAAGCACCGGCUAACUCCGUGCCAGCAGCCGCGGUAAUACGGAGGGUGCAAGCGUUAAUCGGAAUUACUGGGCGUAAAGCGCGCGUAGGUGGCUUGAUAAGCCGGUUGUGAAAGCCCCGGGCUCAACCUGGGAACGGCAUCCGGAACUGUCAAGCUAGAGUGCAGGAGAGGAAGGUAGAAUUCCCGGUGUAGCGGUGAAAUGCGUAGAGAUCGGGAGGAAUACCAGUGGCGAAGGCGGCCUUCUGGACUGACACUGACACUGAGGUGCGAAAGCGUGGGUAGCAAACAGGAUUAGAUACCUGGGUAGUCAA